UUUGGUUACAUUUCAGUUUUGGAAGUAAGGAGAGUGCCAAGCAGUUCUUGUUUUUUUGUUAUAUGUAUUUUUUUUUUUUUAAAUUGGGGUAGCCCCCAAAAUAUUGGGACAUAUAAAAAAAACACAACUCUGUUCCGCACAGUAGCUGUUGACAUUAUAGUUACGCAGGCAAUUUGUUGACUCUAGAGAACCUCCAGCCAAUUGCACAUCCCCGUGGCAGUGACUUUGCAUUCGGAUGUCAUCCAUAUCAACUUUCGAUGCCAGUUUCUGCGCCUGCCAUGGUGACCACAGGGAAUCAGGGUUCCAUUCCAAACAGGGACCCUGAUAAACUGCUACCACAUGCAAGGAAGGCAGCAGGCGGGCAAAUGACCCACUCCCGACGCGGGAAGGUUGUGACGACAAAUAACCAUACAGGACUCUUUAGAGGCCCUGUAAUUGUAAUGAGUCCACUUGAAAUCCUUUAACUCUGAUCAGUUGGAGGGAAGUCUGGUGCAGAACCACUGACCCGUGCAUGCUGCAGCUGAAACUCCACGA